rnacentral:piRNA from 1 species
CUUGUGUUUAUGGGGACUUCGAG